GUUCGGGUUCAUCUGUGCAGGCACUUGACACCUUUAAUACUGCUGUCAUAUCCCCGGUUUACUAUGUAAUGUUCACUUCUCUCACCAUAUUUGCUAGCAUGAUCAUGUUCAAGGAUUGGGACUCACAGAAUGCUUCACAGAUAGUAACAGAGAUUUGCGGGUUCAUCACAAUACUCUCUGGGACUUUCCUUCUGCACAAGACAAUGGACAUGGGAGUGAAGCCGCCCUCAGAACCUACACCUCCAAACAACUUAUAGCAUUCACAGCAGCACAGACUAUCAUUUCUUCUUUCCUUCUUUGAUCAAUAUUAGUGUCAAGCAACACCUUAACGCUCAGAUCCUCUGGGAAUACAACUCCCUCACCAGCCAAGCAACAUCAUUUGCAAAUUGUUCUUGAGACUACUUCAUUGAAAGCCAUGCAACAUUUGCAGAGAAAGAGAGAGAACAUCAUGGUUCUUUGUUCCUAGUACAUUGUGGAGACACAUUAUAGGAAGAUGAUGGUUCCUAGUACAUUGUGGAGACACAUUAUAGGAAGAUGAUGGUUCCUAGUACAUUGUGGAGACACAUCCUACGUUGUGAUUCUUUGUUCUGGACUUUGAUGUGCUUGUAUGUUAUUGGUGGAAUGACAAAGAGUGUAUGUUGAGAGUCCAGAUUCACUCGGAGUGCAUCUAUCCAUUUUUGUAUUUGAGCUUGAUCUGCAGAUGGAAAUUUACAAUUGUCUUGAUCC